rnacentral:rRNA from 1 species
CUCAGAUCAUGUAAGAUUUUAAUGAUCGAACAGAUCAAAAUUUUAAACUUUUGCAUUUAAAUUUUAUCUUAAUCCAACAUCGAGGUCGCAAACUUUUUUUUUUAUUUGAACUAAAAAAAAAUAUUACGCUGUUAUCCCUAAGGUAAUUUUUUCUUAUAAUCAUUAUUAAUGGAUCAUUUAAUCAUUUAUUUAUGUUUAAUUUUUAAAAAAAGUUAAUUUAAUUUUUCUAUCACCCCAAUAUAAUAAUUAAUUUUAUUUUAAUAAAAAUUUUUAUAUAAUUUUAAAAUAAAAAUAAAUAUAAAACUCUAUAGGGUCUUCUCGUCUUUUAAAAUUAAUUUAGCUUUUUAACUAAAAAAUAAACUUCUAAAAAUAAAUAAGAGACAGUUUAUAUUUCAUUAAAUCUUUCAUACAAGUUUUCAAUUAAAAAACUAAUGAUUAUGCUACCUUUGUACAGUCAUUAUACUGCAGCCCUUUAAUUAUUAUCAGUGGGCAGAUUAGACCUUAAAUUAUAUUCAAAAA